rnacentral:rRNA from 1 species
GAUUUAUUGGGUUUAAAGGGUGCGUAGGCGGGUUGUUAAGUCAGUGGUGAAAUCUUGCAGCUUAACUGUAAAAUUGCCAUUGAUACUGACGAUCUUGAGUACACUUGAAGUGGGCGGAAUAUGUCAUGUAGAGGUGAAAUUCUUAGAGAUGACAUAGAACACCGAUUGCGAAGGCAGCUCACUAAAUUGUAACUGACGCUGAGGCACGAAAGCGUGGGGAUCAAACAGGAUUAGAUACCCUGGUAGUCCACGCCCUAAACGAUGAUUACUAGAUGUGUGCAAUAUACCGUACGCGUCACAGCUAAAGCGUUAAGUAAUCCACCUGGGGAGUACGGUCGCAAGACUGAAACUCAAAGGAAUUGACGGGGGCCCGCACAAGCGGAGGAGCAUGUGGUUUAAUUCGAUGAUACGCGAGGAACCUUACCAGGGCUUGAAAGUUAGUGAAAGAUUUAGAAAUAGGUCAGCAAGCAAUUGCACGAAACUAGGUGCUGCAUGGCC